CCGGCGCACGGGUGAGUAACGCGUAUGUAAUCUACCUGUAACAGAGGGAUAACCCGGAGAAAUCCGGACUAAUACCUCAUAGCACAUAUUAUUCGCAUGAAUUUUAUGUUAAAGAGACUCGGUUACAGAUGAACAUGCGAUCCAUUAGCUAGUUGGCGGGGUUACGGCCCACCAAGGCAACGAUGGAUAGGGGUUCUGAGAGGAAGGUCCCCCACACUGGUACUGAGACACGGACCAG
rnacentral:rRNA from 1 species